GUUGUUGCGCCACCUUGUCCUUUUCUUUUGUUUUUCUCUGCCGGUGAGUCACAGAUACGCACGCAAGCCCUCGGCGCGCCAUUUCUGCCGCGGCAAGCUGUGACAGGGCGACCCCUACCCCACUUACACAUUAGAUCUAAAAACGCGCAAGCUGAUCAUAUAUAUAUAUAUAUAUAUUCUCUAUGUACAGGCGCACACACGCAUCGCGCGCAAUGCACCCGAUCUUCGACUACAUCUUGUCUAUUCACUACCUGCCGGCCGGGUCGUCGGUGCUGCUGUCAUGCCUUGCGGCGGCGUGGGGGGUGGAUUGGAAGACGUGCCUCAUGAUGACCUGUGUGGGCUCACUUGUGACGUGCGCCGCCUUCUACGUUCAGCCCUUGCAGUGCUUUUCCCCGCUCGGGGGAAAGUUCAACGUGGGCACGCGUGAGGUGUGUGGUGAGCGCGGUGCCAUGAAGCCCCCUGUCACCAUCGUCUACCCGACCACCAGCGGCACGCCGCGGAGCGGAAUCCAGUACAUUCCGUUUGGCGAGCGCGGUUACCUGGCUGGCAUGGCCAGCUACAGUAAAGUUCCCUACGCACUGGUGAAAGACCUUUGCCUUCUGCGCAGGAAGAUGCGACCCGACGCGGAGCCGGCGCCGCUCUUCCAGCACGAUGGCAUCCCACGCCCGAUGAUCGUGUUCAGCCACGGUCUUGCCGGAUUUCCGCACUUGUACAGCACACUGCUGAUGGACCUCGCUGCGCGCGGUGCCGUCGUGUUUGCCCUGUCGCACAUGGACGGCAGCGCUGCUUUCUGCCGCGACGCCGGGAGGGAGAUUCGCAUUUCGCUGAACACCCAGGUAGGCUGGACCACGGAGGAUCGCGCUCCGCAGCUAGAGGUUCGCAUCCGAGAGACCCUCAACACAAUCAAGCGCAUCCGCAGCGGCGAGCUACUGCUCGCGCUCGGGUACGACAAGGAGACGGUGGACACGUACAUCGCAAGGGAGCCGCGCGUUCACCUCGUUGGGCAUUCGUUUGGCGGCGCGACAUGCCUGGCGGCUGCCCUGAAUGACACGCAAGACGCGAGUGAAAGGGGCGGCGUGAGCAGCGUCGCCAGCACUGUCGUCUACGACCCGUGGAUGAUCCCGCUGCGGAAGACGAUGUUCUACGACAAGCUCACGGACAGGAAGCAACCGGUCCACUUCACCACACCAACGCUGCAGAUCUUCUCUGAGGAGUGGGUGCGGAGCAAGGAGCAGCACGCGUUCUUUGAGGAGGUCAAGGCCAUCGUCGAUGCGCAGCCGCGCUCGACUGAGGAGAGCGCUCUUGUGGCAGCAGUCGACGCCAAGCUGAAGGUAAUGAAGACGUCAUGGUACACGAUAAAGGACUACCGCGGCACUGGGCACUUGACGUGCACGGACGUCUCAUUGUUCAGUCCGGUGCUGUACCGCGCCGCUUACAUGACGGCGUCACCGAGAGGCUGCAUUGUAGCGUUCGCAGCAGACACACUGCGGUUCAUUGAAAAGGUCUCCGGCCCGUUGCCCCUCGACACCAAACUUCUCAACGACUCGGCGCUCGCCGCUGCGCUGAGGGGGUAAAGGUUGUUUGCCACUUUACACGCCGAGCCACCAUAAGCUGUCUCCCUGUUUCCGGCCAUGCCAGCAACGAGAGGCAGAGAUGCAGAGAACCGUAGUCCACGAAAACAGCGAUGCGAGUCCUCGCACGGUGGCAAGCUAGCUGGGUGAUGAAAACAAUGCGACUUCUGCUUUACGAGGGCUAUCGAAGUGCUGCCAACUCUCUCUCCCUCAUACACACGCAGAAACAGCGAGCUCUCUUGAGAUCGCUUGACACACUCCCGAGGUGGUUUGCCUCUUUCUUUCCGUUUUAAGAGUGUGUCGGACUGUCGUGCGGCGCUACUGCACACCGCUGUCUUAACCGCGCGUCUCUUAUUUCACCAUGAUGUCUCCCUACCCACCCAUGCAGCUCAUCGGUGCGCAGCGCAAAGGGGUGCUGCGCGACCGUUGCCGGCGUAUGGCGCCAAACAAAAAAGCAAAAGGAAGUCGUCAAGCUCGUUCCUUUUACCGUUCUCUUUUUUUUUCUUCCGAUGUUGCAGAUGGGAGAAUUCUGGCGUGGGUCCGCUAUCGCUGCCGCUGGGCCAAUAGACCAUUCGCACACUAUUCUGCUCUCGGCCAAGUCACUGUAGCGCGAAAGAGCAAGGAUAAAGAAUAAGCAAGUGAAACACCGUGCGCCAGUUUAGUCUGUAUUCCUCCAGGGGCAAGAGUGGGCCUUAACCCUUGUGGCGGAAUGCGCGACAGUCACCGAGAAGAUAGCACAUACACAACCGUCUGCUUGCGCCGCCUUCUUAUUAUUGAAUGUCAAAACACAUAUUGAGAGACCCAUGUCACGAGCCACCGCGCCAGAUCACGGAAUAGCGCGACUUGCAGCGGCUCUGGGCGCAGGAGCACGGCACGCAGGCCGGGCCUCAGAGGGCCCUAACCCCGAGGCUGGCCCGCCUCCUUCUCGAGCUCGUGCGGCGUGCACGGUGGCCGCCCCCUGUUACGCGGGCGACAGAGACGCCGUCGCCACUGCCCUGGAGCGCAGGACGCUGCAGGCGACCCUGCUUGGAUCGAGGCAUGCGCCCCAGCGGAGGCCCGUCUGGCGCCCGAGGCGCGCGGCUCGAUUUCGCGGCAGAGGGCGGUGCGCCCUAGACGACCAGAGUGUAGCCGUGGUGCCGCAGAGGUGGGUGAGCUGUGGUUGCGUGUGCGCUCAUUCGUUGGCGUGUGCGUGGUAGAACAACACGCUGGAAGCAAGCGAGGAUCCCUCUGCAACUGAUU
rnacentral:misc_RNA from 1 species